GUGAAUCAUCGAAUUUUUGAACGCAUAUUGCACUCUCUGGUAUUCCGGAGAGUAUGCCUAUUUGAGGGUCAUUUGAAAUAAUAUAAAUUCCAAGAUUUCUCGGAAUUUAAAAUGGGUUGUCCAUUUUUUGUGGUCGCUUAAAAUCAAAAACAGGCUCAUUUUCUUGGGUGCGGUGUUCUUUUAGUU
rnacentral:misc_RNA from 1 species